rnacentral:rRNA from 1 species
GAUGAACGCUAGCGGCAGGCUUAAUACAUGCAAGUCGAGGGGUAGCAAGAUUGUAGCAAUACAAUUGUUGACGACCGGCAAACGGGUGCGGAACACGUACACAACCUUCCUACAAGUGGGGAAUAGCCCAGAGAAAUUUGGAUUAAUACCCCGUAACAUAGCGAUGUGGCAUCACAUUGCUAUUAUAGCUUCGGCGCUUGUUGAUGGGUGUGCGGCUGAUUAGAUAGUUGGCGGGGUAACGGCCCACCAAGUCUACGAUCAGUAGCUGAUGUGAGAGCAUGAUCAGCCACACGGGCACUGAGGCACGGGCCCGACUCCGACGGGAGGCAGCAGUAAGGAAUAUUGGACAAUGGACGCAAGUCUGAUCCAGCCAUGCCGCGUGAAGGAUUAAGGUCCUCUGGAUUGUAAACUUCUUUUAUAAGGGACGAAAAAAGGUCUUUCUAGAUCGUCUGACGGUACCUUAUGAAUAAGCACCGGCUAACUCCGUGCCAGCAGCCGCGGUAAUAC